GUGGCUAAUGCCUGUAAUCCCAGCAGUGUGGGAGGCCCAGGCAAGAGGAUUGCUUCAGCCCAGGAGUUCAACAUCAGCUUGAGCAACAUGGUAAGACACCAUCUCUACAAAAAAAUUAAAAAUUAGGUGGGCAGAUCACCUGAGGUCAGGAGUUCGAGACCAACCUGGUCAACAAGCUGAAACUCCAUCUCUGCUAAAAAAUGCAAAAAUUAGCUGGAAAUGGUGGUGUGCUCAUGUAGUCCCAGCUACUGGAGAGGCUGAGGCAUGAGAAUUGCUUGAACCUGGGAGGCAGAGGUUGCAGUGAGCAGAGAUCGCACCACUGUACUCCAGCCAGGGCGACAGAGUGAGACCCUGUCUCAAAACAAACAAAAAAAUUAGCUGGGCAUGGUGACACACGCCUGUAGUCCCAGCUACUUGGGAGGCUGAGGUGGGAAGAUCCCUUGAGAUCAGGAGGUCAAGGAUGCAGUAAGCUCUGACCAUGCCACUGCACUCCAACCUGGGGACAGAGCAAGACCCUGUCUCUAAAAAAUAUUUUUUAAAUAAAAAUAAUUCUUAAAAAUAAAGACCACAGGCCAAGCACGGUGGCUCACGCGUGUAAUCCCAGCACUUUGGGAAGCUGAGGCAAGCAGACCAUGAGGUCAAGAGAUCAAGACCAUCCUGGCUGAGAUGGUGAAACCCCAUCUCUACUAAAAAUACAAAAAAUUAGCUGGGCGUGGUGGCACGGGCCUGUAGUCCCAGCUACUUGGGAGGCUGAGGCAAGAGGAUCACUUGAACCCAGAGGCAGAGGUUGCAGUGAGCCAAAAUCGCGCCACUUUACUCCAGCCUGGCAACAGAGUGAGACUCCAUCUCAAAAAACAAACAAACAAAAAAUAAAGACCACAAAAGUCAUGUCAAAAGAACUCAAGAACCAAAUUAAAGUGGUUUCCACUAGAAAAAGAUAGAACAAUUUGAGCCUCAAAAAUGAACUACAACUGGGGCUGGGCACGGUGGCUCACACCUGUAAUUCCAGCACUUUGGGAGGCGAAGGCAGGUGGAUCACUUGAGGUCAGGAGUUCGAGACCAGCCUGGCCAACAUGGCAAAACGCUGUCUCUACUAAAAAUAUAAGAAAAGUAGCCGGGCAUGGUGGUGCUUGCCUGUAAUCCCAGCUACUUGGGAGGCCGAGGCAGGAGAAUCACUUGAACCUAGGAGGAGGAAGUUGUAGUGAGCCGAGAUCAUGCCACUAUACUCCAGCCUGGGUGACAGAGCAAGACUCUUGUCUCAAAAAAAGAAAAAAAAAAAAAAAAAAGGAAAGAAAGAAAGAAAAAAGAACUACAAUUGACUGAAGCUCAAAUAUGUUUUAAUGCAUGAAGUCAUAUUGAUUUUCUUUUUUAAAAAAAUGAAUUGGCCACCUUUAAAGGAUGAUAGGGUGCUAGAGAACCAAUUUUCAUGAAUUUAAGAACUAAUAAAGGGAAAGAACCAAACAUUUAUCUUGCCUUUCUAUUAUAGCCUGACCAACCUGUAAUUAAAAAUAGCUAAGGGGAAGAGUGUCCUUAUUAAACUAUUCCAAUUUCCAAAAAAAAAAAAAUUUAAAUAGGCUGGGCACAGUGGCUCAUGCCUGUAAUCUCAGCACUUUGGAAGGCUGAGGCAGAAGGAUUGCUUGAGCUCAGGAGUUUGAGACCAACCUGAGCCACAUAGCAAGACCUCAUCUCUACUAAAAAAAAAAUUUUAAUUAGCCAGGCAUGGUGGCACUCACCUGUAGUUUCAGCUACUCAGAAGGCUGAGGUGGAAAGAUCUCUUGAGCCCAAAAUAUUGAGGCUACAGUAAGCUAUGAUUGCACCACUGUGCUCUAGCAUGGGUGACAGCAAGACCCUGUCUCUAAAAAAAAUAAAAUAAAAUAAAAUAAAAAGGUUUUGUUUUAAAAGAAAUGGCACAAUUACAAUAUCACCAUUUUGUAACUUCCAAGGAAUUAAUGGGUCUAGGCAAUGAUUAUCCAUAGCUGCUAUCAUCAAAAAAAUAAAGUCCACCAGAUAUUAGUGCCUUCUGAUAAAAGAAUGUCACAGGUGAUGCUGCGUAUGUCAUAAUGGAUCACAUUAUGACACAUGCUAUAUCAAAUUUUCUCAUUUUGGAGAUGCUAAAUUUGAUCACUUGGUUAAGGUGGUGAAUGCAUGUGAUUUUGACCUGGAGAAGAUUAUUUUUAAAAAUAAAAGAGCCGGGCGCAGUGGCUCACGCCUGUAAUCCCAGCACUUUGGGAGGCCGAGGCGGGCAGAUCACAAGGUCAGGAGAUUGAGACCAUCCUGGCUAACACGGUAAAACCCCGUCUCUACUAAAAAUUAAAAAAAAUCAGCCGGGUGUGGUGGCACACACCUGUAGUCCCAGCUACUCAGGAGGGCGAGAUAGGAGAAUCACUUGAACCCGGGAGGCGGAGGUUGCAGUGAGGCGAGAUUGUGCCAAGGCACUCCAGCUCGGGCGACAGAGCGAGAGUCAAUCUCAAAAAAAAUAAUAAAAAAAAUAAUAAAAGAGAUGUUUUUUCAAAAACAGAGGAAGUCACCCAGGAUCCAUUCUGGCAAGGUGGCAGAGCACAAGGAAGGGAGAUGUCUACCUUUCAAGGGUAACUUGGCAGAGGUUCUCACAGCAAUGCCUCACACCCAGUGUUGGCAGCAGUCAGUAUUCUACUGGAACAAUCUGGCAAUGUGAUCAAUGUAGUUCAGCUAUUGUUUUUAAGAACAAAGCUCUCCUGGAAAUUUUCUGAGCUACUUAGUUGCUAUUACUAGAUUUUUUUUUUUCCUAGCAUGGAUUCUGUUGUUUGUAACUAAAAGACCUGACUGAUACAGGAUCCAAAAGAUUGACAACUGUGUGUGUGUGUCUGUGUGUGUGUGUGUGUGUGUGUGUGCCCUCACAUUCAAAUUAAUGAGUCUCCAAAAUGCUAUUGAUUUCUCCAAAUGCAUUUUAAAAACCUAGGUUGAAUGACAAGAAGUUAUUUAACUUGAUUGAUGAUUGCCUCAGAAAGCCUUGAGGAAGAUAAACAGAAGCUUGGCUGUCCUGGAACUCUGUAUUUCACAACUGUUGGAGUGCAUAUACAACCUUUCAGUCAGCAUGAGUCCCAAGGGAAGAUGACUUGGAGCGGAGCCUCAGCGCAUCCACAAUGGUCGUAGGGCAUCAAUAUAUGAGGGAUAACGUGGUGAGGAAACAAGACCUGUAGAGAUUAAGGAACUUUAGACCUGAGUUUAACCAGCUUUGAGACCUGGGCCUGAGUCUGUCUAAGGCUGAGGCUCUUGCCUCAUGUUGGAAAACCAGCUACAUUGGAAAACCUCCUGCAUAUCCUCCACAGCAUUUGUGAUCUCUUCCCUGAGCUCACAGAAGCACCCAGCAAAUGCUUACAAAUGACUAACUGAAGGGCAAUGACUUGAGCACAGCUGCUGAAUAUGUGAAUGAAGAAAUGACUACAGCCAGUUCCUGACUUGCAACAGUUCCACUUACGAUUUUUUUUCCUUUACAAUGGUGCAAAAGCAGUAGGUAUUCUCUACACAUCUCAGCAUAUGGGGAUAUGUCUGAUAUCCCCAUCCUAAAUUGAAAAUACCAUAAGUCAAAGGUUCAAUAUUUUCGCCGGCCACACUGGCUCACGCCUGUAACCCCAGCACUUCGGGAGGCUGAGGCAGGUCACUUGAGCUUAGGAGUUUAAGACCAGUUUGGACAACAUAGUGAAACCCUGUCUCUACAAAAAAAGAUAAAACUUAGCCAGGUAUGGUGGUGCAUGCCUAUAGUGCCAGCUAUUCAGGAGGCUGAGGUGGGAGUAUCACUUGAGCCUGGGAGGUGGAGGCUGCAGUGAGCCAAGAUCAUGCCACUGCACUCCAGCCUGGGCAACAGAGCCAGACCCUGUCUCAGAAAACAACAAAACAAAAGGUACAAUAUUUUCAACUUAGGAUGAGCUUAUCCAGACAUAACCUCAUCGUAAGUAGAGGAGUGUCUGUAUUUGUUGAAAACUGCAUUAGGUAAAACUGUCUAGAAUCUCUCAUGUAAUACAAAAAAGAUACAGACCAUAUCUUCAAAAACUAGAUAAUAAAGAGGUGAAAUGGACCAAAUAUAAUAUUUAGAAGUGGUGUUGGAAGAAGGCCACACAUUGGCCAGAGGACUAGACCAGGAAUCCAGGGUCUGCAUUCUAGUUCCUCCUACAGCUGUGUGCUGUUGGUAAUCAUUUUAACCUCUCUGAGCCUGUUCCAUCACACAAAAAGAUACUAAUAAAACCAGUUCUAGGUGUCGAAUGAAAUAAUAUAUGUGCUAUGUUAUGAAUGUGUUUCCCAAAAUUCAUACGUGGGAAACUUAAUCCCCAAUGCAGCAGUGUUGGGAGGUGGAGCCUCUGAAGAGAUCUUCAGGUCACAAGGGCUCUGCCCUCAUGAAUGAAUUAGUUCCCUUUCAAAAUGGGCUUUCAGUAGUGGGUUCAUUCCUUCCUGCUCUUCUGCUAUGUGAGGACACAGGUCCCUCUCCUCCAGAGGACACAGCAAGUGCCAUCUUGGCAGCAGAGAGCAGCCCUUGCCAGAUGCUGGAGCCUUGAUCUUGGACUUCCCAGCCUCCAGAACUGAGAAAUAAAUGUCUCUUCUUUAUAAAUUACUGAGUCUCAGGCAUUCUGUUAUAGCCGCA
rnacentral:lncRNA from 10 species